rnacentral:rRNA from 1 species
UACGUAGGGUCCGAGCGUUGUCCGGAAUUAUUGGGCGUAAAGGGCUCGUAGGCGGUUUGUCGCGUCGGGAGUGAAAUCUUACAGCUUAACUGUGAACUUGCUUCCGAUACGGGCAGACUUGAGGCAUUCAGGGGAGAACGGAAUUCCUGGUGUAGCGGUGAAAUGCGCAGAUAUCAGGAAGAACACCCGUGGCGAAGGCGGCUCACUGGCCCGGUACUGACGCUGAGGUGCGAAAGCGUGGGGAGCAAACAGG